ensembl:lncRNA
GCUUAUCCAACAAGCUGUCACCUUCAGUGUACUAAUCUUAAUGCAACAGCUGUUUUAUUUGCUCUACUGUGUAAUGAAUACCUUUUUUUUUUUUUUUUUCUGUGCUCCCUCUACGGUGUUACGAUGUUAGAAACUGUGAGGAUAGCAGUCUUGCUAUGUACACAAAAGCAUGUGUUAAUUGUUUCUAGGUGUGUUCUCUUAAAAAAAAAAAAAAAAAAAUAGAAUAAGGCUAUGUAAGUGUUUUGUUUCCAUCUGUUAUCUGUCAUUGGUUUUCAUGUUUUGUAUGACCAUGGUGUCUUUUGAUACAGGGAUAUUCCUGCACUGAGCUUUGAGUCUGCUUGUUAUGAGCGGUAAUUGCCUCUACUUUAUUUGGUGUUAUAUAUAUAUAUAUAUAUAUAAUGAUGAUCUUAUAGGACCAAAACAGAAAUAAAACAGCCUAAAUGAGUAGCUAAUGCAGUAUGUAUGCCUUUUCCAUAAAAUGUCUUCCCUACAUACAAAUGCCAAUGUUCAGGCCCCAUAAAGUGUCAACAAUGAACUGAAAUGCGUUCUUUUUAAAGCUAAUUCACCAAACCUAAACUAAGAAUACUUUGGUGUUCAGCAACUUUUAGGCUGGAAUCCAAACUUGAGAUCUGUGCGCCAAAACUUGACACGUACAGAUCGAAAGUUAGAAUUCGGCCCUCACGUGCUAGAUUUAGUUCAAACCAAAGGAGCAGAAGAAGACAACAUUUUGUGUGCUGUUUCACUGACGCUGAUGUUUGUGCUGUUUUUCCCCACAAUGAUGUUUCCUGUGGUGGCUGAGAGCGAGACAAGAGUCCAGCACUUCCUUCUCCAGGCCGGGCUCCCCUUUCAGAGAGACAAGACCUCCACAAGGCCACUUAUCAAGGUCAUUUCUGAUGGCAUGUGUAGAUACUAAAAGCCGUAAAGCUAUAGAAAUAAAUAGUCGCAAACUCGUAUAACUCCCAGCGACUCUAUUUAGUUGUAUAGCUUCCAGUUAAUUUGCCGAUAGUCAGCACCUCUACACUAAUGUUCCCUGGGGAUGCUCCAACUUGUUAUUAGAUACUAGAAGCCAAACAACACUGGGGGUGAUGUAAAAUACAAUAUGGCGAAUUCAUUUUGCUUACUGUUUUCCGGGAAGGCAUUUGUCAUAGACGCUCACCCACACUCGACCAUUAAAAAGUUGUGGUUCCAAAUGUUUCCUCUGUUAAGGAUUUAUCGUUCUAUUCGUCUACACAUGACAGACACUUUUUGGUUAACAAAGUGUCAUUACAAGCUGCACAUGUACCUGAGUGUGUUUUGGUUACGCAUAUGGCUCUAAACUGGUUCCAGAUUGCCACAAGGCGUCAGGUAGCUUGACUUGUAACUGUCAAAGUUGAACCACCAGGCGUCCGGUAGCUUGACUUGUAACUGUAAAGUUGAACCACCAGGCGUCAGGUAGCUUGACUUGUAACUGUCAAAGUUGAACCACAAGGCGUCAGGUAGCUUGACUUGUAACUGUCAAAGUUGAACCACCAGGCGUCAGGUAGCUUGACUUGUAACUGUCAAAGUUGAACCACCAGGCGUCCGGUAGCUUGACUUGUAACUGUCAAAGUUGAACCACCAGGCGUCAGGUAGCUUGACUUGUAACUGUCAAAGUUGAACCAAGAUACUUGUUCAUUUGUUCUCUAUAUGUUCUAGGUGCCGCCCUUUUAGAGAAGAGUCUCGCAAGGAACCUCCUCUGGACAAAGGUUUCUGUUCUGGAGAGAGUUACUGUAUUUGUAAAGGUGGACUCAUCAAUAUGACAACAUCAUACAAAGCGGGGGAAAUUCCUGCAUACAGAAAUCAACAACAGCAUUCAAAUCUUCUGAGACUGACGCUUGUGGCUUUUCCCCAUGUGGGCAAAGCUCACGGGAGGGCGCAAAUGUCGCAGUCUUGGCAGAUUUUUAUUCUAUCGUUGAUGUCUAAGCAGGAAGACGGGGGGCAUUGUAUGAUGGUGCCAUUUUGCUAAGUCAAUUAUUAGUAGACAUGUCAUGACCUGACAUUUUUCAAAUAUGUUAUCAGUAACUACUUCAGUUAUUAUAAUGAGUCGGUGUUAGACACGUUGUUACCGUAAUGAGUCGGUGUUAGACACGUUGUUACCGUAAUGAGUCGGUGUUAGACACGUUAUCAUAAUGAGUCACUAUUACACGUUGUUAUCGUAAUGAGUCACUAUUACACGUCGUUACCGUAAUGAGUCGGUGUUAGACACGUUAUCGCAAUGAGUCACUAUUACACGUUAUCAUCGCAAUGAGUCACUAUUACAUGUUGUUAUCGUAAUGAGUCAGUAUUACACGUUAUCAUAAUGAGUCACUAUUACACGUUAUCGUAAUGAGUCACUAUUACACGUUGUUACCGUAAUGAGUCGGUGUUAGACACGUUAUCAUAAUGAGUCACUAUUACACGUUGUUAUCGUAAUGAGUCACUAUUACACGUUGUUACCGUAAUGAGUCGGUGUUAGACACGUUAUCGCAAUGAGUCACUAUUACACGAUAUCAUCGUAAUGAGUCACUAUUACACGUUAUCAUCGUAAUGAGUCAGUAUUACACGUUGUUAUCGUAAUGAGUCAGUAAUACACGUUGUUAUCGUAAUGAGUCAGUAUUACACGUUGUUAUCGUAAUGAGUCAGUAUUACACGUUGUUAUCGUAAUGAGUCAGUAUUACACGUUGUUAUCGUAAUGAGUCAGUAUUACACGUUGUUAUCGUAAUGAGUCAGUAUUACACGUUGUUAUCGUAAUGAGUCAGUAUUACACGUUAUCGUAAUGAGUCAGUAUUACACGUUGUUAUCGUAAUGAGUCAGUAUUACACGUUGUUAUCGCAAUGAGUCAGUAUUACACGUUGUUAUCGUAAUGAGUCAGUUUUACACGUUGUUAUCGUAAUGAGUCAGUAUUACACGUUGUUAUCGUAAUGAGUCAGCAUUAGACACAUUGGGUGACAUUCUGGACCCAUUAGACUGAGAUUUGUUCAUGAACUCGGAUGUUUUGCUUAUGGAUUCUGAGAAAGUAUAUGGAAAUCAUGAUAAAUUGUAUUUAGUUCGAUUGAACUUUGGUUAUAAUGUGGCUAAAUCUAUGCCAAAGUGAUCAACAAUGAAGGUAAUACUUUUUCUUGUUAUUGAUAAAUAUGGCCAGAUUCAUGUUAUCACUGGUAACAUUGCAAUUUUGUGAUUUGUUUUUCAGGGUAAGUCAGAACUUCUCUUCCCUGCCUUGGUUCCUUCAGUCUCCUCUUUCUGCUUUGGUGCCCAUGUAAGACUGGAGACCAGGGAAGAUGUUCAACGAAUGAGCCCCUGUGGAUAUUUCUCAAAUAGAAAAUGUAAUGUUAUGUAACACAUUUGUCUACAUCCUUCACUUUAUUCAAUGUAAUCUUGUACACUACUGUUUCCUUAUGAUAUAACAUCAAUGUGCAUGCUUUGUCCUUAAUUGAGAACAUAACGUGUUCAUUUUUCAUUUGGCGUAUUAAUAUAAUAAACAUAGGCACAGACUAUCUGAAGAUUUUGAGUUUCUUUGGUAACCGUUUACUUGGACGCUGCCAUAGCCUACAUUAAUCGCGUUGCCAUAAUGACAAGAUGUCACAAAAACAAUCAUGACUUAGCCUGUCUGCUUAAUGACAACUGACUUAAAACAAACAUGACUCAACCAUGGUUUGAAUUUAAGGGGUGCUAGAAUAUGAACUUAAACAGUCAGUGAGGACACCCCAAAGAGUUUGUAUAAUUUGAACCCUGAACAGAGUGUUAUUU